rnacentral:rRNA from 1 species
GAUGAACGCUGGCGGCGUGCCUAAUACAUGCAAGUCGAGCGAACAGACGAGGAGCUUGCUCCUCGGACGUUAGCGGCGGACGGGUGAGUAACACGUGGAUAACCUACCUAUAAGACUGGGAUAACUUCGGGAAACCGGAGCUAAUACCGGAUAAUAUAUUGAACCGCAUGGUUCAAUAGUGAAAGACGGUUUUGCUGUCACUUAUAGAUGGAUCCGCGCCGCAUUAGCUAGUUGGUAAGGUAACGGCUUACCAAGGCGACGAUGCGUAGCCGACCUGAGAGGGUGAUCGCCCACACUGGAACUGAGACACGGUCCAGACUCCUACGGGAGGCAGCAGUAGGGAAUCUUCCGCAAUGGGCGAAAGCCUGACGGAGCAACGCCGCGUGAGUGAUGAAGGUCUUCGGAUCGUAAAACUCUGUUAUUAGGGAAGAACAAAUGUGUAAGUAACUAUGCACGUCUUGACGGUACCUAAUCAGAAAGCCACGGCUAACUACGUG